rnacentral:rRNA from 1 species
UUUAAUUGAAGAGUUUGAUCAUGGCUCAGAUUGAACGCUGGCGGCAGGCCUAACACAUGCAAGUCGAACGGUAACAGGGAGCAGCUUGCUGCCUUGUUGACGCGUGGCGGACGGGGGGGUAAUGGUUG